CCUACGGGAGGCAGCAGUGGGGAAUAUUGGACAAUGGGGGCAACCCUGAUCCAGCAAUGCCGCGUGUGUGAAGAAGGCCUGCGGGUUGUAAAGCACUUUCAGUAGGGAAGAAGGGUUAAGGGUUAAUACCCCUUAGCAUUGACAUUACCUACAGAAGAAGCACCGGCUAACUCUGUGCCAGCAGCCGCGGUAAU
rnacentral:rRNA from 1 species